AAUAGAAAAGGUGAGACAGCUCUGUGUCUCCUGCGUUCAGAAGAACAUUGAGGUAUAGCAAAAAUCAAUGUCCGAGAUAUCAUUUUGGUCAUCAUCUUUUUUAUUGGCAAUUCGAUUCUUGCUCGUCCACAU